rnacentral:rRNA from 1 species
UACGUAGGUGGCAAGCGUUGUCCGGAUUUAUUGGGUUUAAAGGGUGCGUAGGCGGCGCGGUAAGUCGGAUGUGAAAUCUCGGAGCUUAACUUCGAAACUGCAUUCGAUACUGCCGUGCUUGAGGACUGGAGAGGAGACUGGAAUUUACGGUGUAGCGGUGAAAUGCGUAGAUAUCGUAAGGAAGACCAGUGGCGAAGGCGGGUCUCUGGACAGUUCCUGACGCUGAGGCACGAAGGUCAGGGGAGCAAACGGG